GUCAAUUUCAGGCUAAUGACUGGGGUUUUGCCAGCUUUGGGACAGACGUGCCCUGGCCCUGAAUGACUGAGGGAGCUGCCUCCCCGCAGGGCACGGCACCUCCCAGACAAAGAUCCAGCUCGGUUAGCCUGGGCCCCGAGGGCAUCUGCAGGCUGAGCAAGAGGCACACUUUCUACCAAAACCGCCUCCGAAGGCGCCCACGUCCAGGAGGAAACACGAACCAGCAGCGGCCGGGCCCAGGCCGCCGCCGGUCCCCCGUCCACGGAGCACAGGGUCGGAGCAGCAGCAGCAGACGGAGGGCUCGCAGACAAGCAGCAGCGCCCGGGGACCCCCGCCGGGCAGAGGACAGCG
rnacentral:lncRNA from 1 species